UCCGAGCUGAGGUUGGGGAUUUGUCUGGCCAUCCUCCUGCAGUCCACUGCUCUCUUGACCACUCUGGCUCCACGAACUCUUAAGUUGCCGGUCCCACCACCCACUCUUGGCUCGCCGGUGCCAGGGAUUCAUGCUAGGACUCCCGAUUCAGCUAGGAGCAGCCUGGAGCAGCACCCUCUGUAUGGAAGAAACCAGUGAUAUCGGAUCCCAGACAAGUUCGUGACCAGGCAGUUUAGCAUGGGGCUGGACAGCAGAAGACGACCACAUACUGAUCCAAACAAUCCAUAAGCCACUUUGGGGAAGAUUACUCUGCUUAUUUGAGGUGAAAGUGGUAUACUUAUAAUGUGCCUCAGCUAAUCAGGUAUUUACAGAAGUUGAUAUUAUUGCUACUGCUGACAUCUUUUCCUUGUUGCCACCUAGAAUGGAAGCCAGAUGAGGAGAUUCAUUAUUAUAUCCCAGUGUUUGCUAAAGGAGGAGCUCUCUUUUUUCCAGACACAGACAUAAGAGUGGCUGAGAGGAAAACAUUCAUAGUUAAAUUCGGUCUGAUCUGUCCUACUGAGGAGGUGGGCCAAGAGGAUCUGAAGGGGUAAUAUUUUUAAGUAAUUAGGUAAGUACUAUAUCGUUUCUUUUUAUCAUUAUUUGGAAAUAUUCCAGCAUGUCAUCACCCCUAAUAAUAUGAACAGCAGUCUCUGAACACUUAAGUCUAUUCCAUUGAUCUGACAGUAUAGAUUUAUUCUACUACCAUAUUGUUUUAAUGACUAUUGCUUUAUAAUACAACUUAAAGUUGGGGAAGUGAUGUCUGCCAUCUUUUUUGUAAGGAUUGGUUUAGUUAUUUGGGUGUUUAUUGUCCCAAAUUAAUUUCAGGAGCAUUUGAUCCACUUCUUUGAAAAAUGUCAUGAAUAUACUUAAUGGCAUUGCAUUAAGUUUGUACUAUGCUUUGGGUGUAUUGAAUACAUGGCUCCAGUAUGCAAAGUAUGCCUCAAGCUAUCAAGUUAUUUUCUUAAUGCUUAGUCUAUUUAAUUCAGAUUAACAGGCCCUAAUUUCAGUUGUACACAGAAUUUUCUGUGCUUUUUGUUUUCUUUUGUGCUGAUACA